GAAUUUUUAGGGCGCUCUUUUUAGAGGUCCGACCAAUUUCAUUUCCACACACUGUGAACACACUUCAUUUUUACACACAAUCUAUAAACACACAAGUCUAUAAGAAUGCAUAAAGUCUCUUAAUUGAGCAUAAAGUUAUAAUACAACUUUCGGCAACGGAUCUCUUGGCUCU
rnacentral:misc_RNA from 1 species